rnacentral:tRNA from 1 species
GGUCUCUUGGUCAAGUGGUCAAGACGUCACCCUCUCACGGUGAAAUCAGGGGUUCGAUUCCCCUAGGGACUACCA